rnacentral:lncRNA from 1 species
CCCAGGGACAGGGGUGACAAGAUGUGCACCCUAGGGACAGCACAGCUUCUGUCUCCUGAACAAUAACCCAUGCAGUCCUUCCCUCCUCUGUCAACAUACCUAUCUCUGUCGCUGCUGCACCAUCCACAGCUUCUCCUGUUUCCUCUUCUUUUGUUUCAGGCCCUCCACUUACUAUCUGACUGAGCAGCUCAGUUUCCACCUGUUCUCCCGUCUCACCUGGGAACAGUAAUGAUGGAGAUCAAAUUAGGAUCCUCUGUAGAAGUGCUGCGUGCCCCAGCUCCUUCCUGAUUUUGCUUUGGCAGCCCUUCAGCACCCCUCACAGGGGCACUGCACAGAGGUACAGAGCUCAUUGGGUCAGCAAAGAGCAACCAGGAGGCUCCCCAUUGCUUUCUGUCAUCCAGGCAUAUGCCCACAAAAUCCUUUCCAUGCUGUCACCAAUUCCCCAUGGCACUCUCUUGAUUAAACAUCAUAAAUACCAGCUCUGUUCAAACCACUUUUUUCCAGGUUUUGGAUUUUAUUUUAGGUACGUGCAGUUUUAUUCGCAAUGGGAAGGAAACAGUAUUGCACCAUCUGGGCUGCAGCAGGGAAGCUGCUACAUAAUUCAUCUUUACUCACACAGCUACUAAAGAAUAAGGGGAAACAAAACAAGUCCUAAGUAUCUUACACACCAGAGCAUAAAAAUGGAAAGUCUCUUCAUCACACACCUCAUGGAAAGAAAAUGCACACAAGUUAACACGCUGUCAUUCCACAUUAUUUCUAGUUUGAUCACAUAAGAACAAAACUCCAUUUCUCGCCCUGCAAGCAGCACGAGCUGCUCGGUGGCCAAAGCCCUGUGACUGAACUCCAGGCAAACAUUCAGCUCCAGGUGUCUUUGUGUACAGGAGGUCCCACUGCAUUGCUCAGCAGGUGCUGCUCUGCCUCCAGCGCUGCACGACGAAGCUUGGAAAUGGCCAUUAAUGAAACUGGAGUUUUCAGCUGGGUGAGACUCCGUUUUAUAUAAGCAGGCAACCCAUAAUUUACUUCUUACAUAAAAUGAGACCUUAUUCCAAAUGAUAGAUCUCCAUUUUAUGUAGAAGAAAACCACAAAGCUCUUUUACAAAGAGACAGAGGGGAGGACAAGUCAACACUCAUGCUCAGCAAAGCUCCAGGGUUAAGAAGCAGCACGUGCAAUUGGGCUUCCCAUAAAUCAGUCCAUCUACAUUUUGCACUUCUUCAGGGUGGAUGUGGAGUGAAGAAGUCUACAGAUACCACAUUUCUCUGCAGAGAAAUACUUCUGGUGCGCUUCACCUGCUUAUUCCCUGAAGAGCUGCUCCCUGAGGAAGUAUCUAAUUCCUCACUGGGCUGUUGUGUACCAUUUAGGAGAAAGCUGAUUUCUCCACUGAAGUGUUCACCUUCUACAGCCAGACAUAUGUUCUCAGGGCACCAACCCAAAGAGCACAGCCUGCAGCUUCUGACCUACGUCCCAAGCUGACAACCCCCAGAGAUCUUUGGAGAGCCCAACCCAUGGUCCUCCACCUCUGUCUCCAUUAUGAUUGUUUGGUCACCAGGCCUUUAGGAUGGGGUACGCCAGGGGUACAUCUAAGAGCUGCUUCUUCCUCUACAGCUAGUCAUCUACCCUCCAACUUCAUGUGAAUAGGGACAGUUGCUUUAUUAUUAAUACAGGUAACUAAGUAAUAGAACUUUUGGUCUCAGCAGAUAAGAAGCAUUGUGUCUAAGAUAAGCAGAAACACAGCCAUUAAAUGAGGGGUAUGGUGGGGCUUCUCACCAAGAACACAAAGGGCAUGAAAUGAAAUAGCAGAGCUAACGACUGAUUUAUUACAGCUUGCAUUUGUGAGCCUGAGGCUUCCCCAUCCACAUCCUUAUGUGCUCUGCAUUGGACAGACCCCGUGGCCAAAAUUCUGGCUCCGGAAGCUCAGUAGUGGCUCUCACUAAACUCAAAAGGGCCCCCUGACAAGUCUCUGGAGACAGAAUCUGGUCUCCUGAAUUGACAAAAGCACAAAUGUUACCCUCAACGAAGUGGUCCUCUUCAGCAAUAUGCACCUUCUUGAUGAUUUCCACCACAAAGCUGUCACUGCCUUCCUCCAACCCACUGUCCUCUGUUGGUCCUGGUGGCCCACCAUUGUCUCUCAGUGCCGGUGGUGAAGUCUUGGUGCUUUCCUCUUGCCACACAGAUGGCAGCUCUGGGCUCUGCUCCGGUGCUACACAUGGUGGCUCAGUACCCUCCGGCUCCUCUCUCUCAGGGACCGAGUCAAUCUUUGGCUCCAAGGCCGAAGUCAGCUCUGUGGCCUCUUCCCCUGGCAGGUGCUCACCUGAUUUCAGCUCCUCAGAGGCCAGGCUCACACCCUCCACUGUGUUCAGCUGUGUUUGGUCAGCUAUGGUUUCGUAAUCAUCAGCAAUCGGGGAGCUCUCCCCUGAUGAUGCUAUCAGUCAUGGCAAAGGAAAGAAAGAGAAUUACAGAUAAUUCAGUGGGCACUUCAGUUAGGUGAGAAAUGGGCCCAGCUGGGCCUGUACCACGCAAGCACUGCCUGUCAGAGCUCACACCUGGCCACCAACAGUACUCACACACCACAGCUGCUGCUCUCACACAUACCCAGAGAGGCUGUGGACUCUGCUUCUCUGGAGAUGCCCAAAACCUACCAGGAUGCCUACCUGUAGCGGGGGGUUGGACUAGAUGAGCUCCACAGGUCCUUUCUAACCCCUAUAACUCAGUGAUUCUGUGACGUACAAUACAAUUUUACACGAAAAGAGUUGACAUUUCACCUUAAGGAUCUGAAGUGUGCAGCAGUUUUGCCAGAAGAUGGGAUGCUGUUCCAGGAAGCAACUUUUCCUGCCCCAAAGCAAGCACGAGGUCAACAUGCUGAGUGAUCACUCCCCCAGAUGGGCUACACAGCAAACUCUGGAAAUACUCUUCUCAGCCCAGUGUGAGACCAUGGCUAUUUCUUAAAACAAACAUCAGUGUUUUUUUUUUUUUUUAAUUUCUUUUUUUGUUCUGUUAUUAAAUACUAAACUACCAUUGAAUAAUACAAUCAUAGAAUGGCCUGGGUUGAAAAGGACCACAGUGAUCAUCUGGUUUCAACCCCCCUGCUAUGUGCAGGGUCGCCAACCACCAGACCAGGCUGCCCAGAGCCACAUCCAGCCUGGCCUUGAAUGCCUCCAGGGAUGGGGCAUCCACAGCCUCCUUGGGCAACCUGUUCCAGUGUGUCACCACCCUCUGUGUCAAAAACUUCUUUCUAAUAUCUAACCUAAACCUCCCCUGUCUCAGUUUAAAAACAUUCCCCCUUGUCCUAUCACUAUCCACCCUCAUAAACAGCCGUUCCUUCUCCUGUUUAUGUGCUCCCUUCAAGUACUGGAAGACCACAAUGAGGUCUCCCCGGAGCCUUCUCUUCUCCAAGCUAAAAAGCUAAAAAGUCAUUGACAUGACUUUGUCCAGCAAAGCAUCCAGUGCCAGGAAUACUCACCUAAAUAAAACUUCCUCUUCUUUCACAUCUCAUCAACUUACUCGAAGCAACAGGCCUUCUUGGCAGGCAAAACUUAUGCAGAAAGAAAUGACAAAAUUGCCCUGACAGGUAUUCAGUGAUAAAUGUUAAAGACUCAGGAUGAGCUCUACCUACCUAUCAGGUCGGUUUAAUCACAUUUUAAUUAAAUUCAGUUUGAUGAGAGCUUGAGCUUAACCUCCUCAGAAGGAAUGUCAGGAUCGAAAGAUUGGGAGGUCAUGCACAAAAUAUGUUAUGUAAUAAUUACGAGAUCUGAAUGAAUUGCAUUUUCUGGGAAAAUUAUUACUAUAGUGUCAAAGCUCGUGAGCAGAACUGCAUGGCAAUUUGUACACACACAGAUCGGCAGUGAAAAUAAAUGUAACACAUCUCGCUCUCGAACAGGCUGCUGGAAUACUGAUGCUUUUCAGAUAAACUCACAGCUCCUUUGAGGCAUCCAAGCAAAGCAGCUCCCCAGGAAGCAUCACUGAGUCAGUGUGUGCAGGCACAGGGAAGGGCAGCUGAACCAGGAGGGGGCCAGGACCAGGAGAUACGAGGCGUCAAGAGAUACAGAAAGCAACUUGGACUACAGGACACAUAAAAUCUUGUUUGUCCUGGGAACUGUAAAACCACCCGAGAGGAGGCUAAGCCCCCACCAAAAAAACAUGGUAAGGGGCCAGGCCUCAUACUGAGCAGUGGCCAGCAGACAUCUCAGGCGCUUUGCUUUCUCAGCUGCCUCCUGAGCCCAGUGGAGGACCAGAGGAGGCCAUAGGGAUGCCCAGGGGAGGCCCUCUUCAGCCCACUCAGCUCCUGUGAUGAUAGUCAGAGGGGAGCAGGCGCCAAGCUGCUUUGUGGUCCUAGUCCUCCUCACGGGCACUGCAAUUAAUCUGGGUGCCAGCUGGAUGUCAGCAAGGCUUAGAGCCACAUGGUGAAACCGCAGGUCUUCAAUGCAUCAGUUAUUAAGGCAUUGCCACGAGCUGUAUUAUGGCUUGCUUAUAAUACUGCAUUGAGAUUAUGCAUGUUAUGGCAUGAGCAGGCAAUAGCUAAAUCCGUUAACUUCUCUGCGUGAUUUUUUCCACCUAGCGAUGCUUGAAAAACAAAGUGUGACAAUUCUAAGAAUUCGAGGCUGUGAUUUAAAGAAGGCAGCACACAGGGUUGCAACACCCCUCAAAGGCUUGAGAAGCACCACACACGCAGUGAAAGGCCCCUUACACAAAGAUCUGCAGCUGUACAGAGGUGCGGUUACAGCACAUCAGCUGUACGAGGCAGCCCACAUUGCACCCAUGUAGCAACAGGACAGGGGGAAAUGGUUUUAAACUGGAAGAGGACAGAUUUAGACUAGAUAUUAGGAAGAAAUUCUUUACUGUGAGGGUGGUGAGACACUGGAACAGGUUGCCCAGCGAGGCUGUGGAUGCCCCCUCCCUGGAAGCACUCAAAGCCAGGCUGGAUGGGGCUGUGAGCAACCUGGUCCAGAGGGAGCUGUCCCUGCCUAUAGCAGGGGGCUGGAACUAGGUGAUCUUAAAGGUCCCUUCCAACCCAAACUGUUCUAUGACUCUAUAUUCCAAGGGGAUCUGUGACUGCAUGUGUGCCCAUCCACCGUACAAAUUUCAGCAGCUUCUAGGGUUGAGUAAUACUUCAUGAAAGUUACACACCUCCAAGAAGUCCCAAUGCAGCCACAAAGCACAGAGUGUGCUAACAGAACAGGCUUGAUAUUUUCAUGCAUUACUUUUUAUCCCUUUAGACACUUCUCAUGCCUUCACCUCGCUUAGCAGCAGGUGAGUGGGGAGCACCGAAAGCCUAUGGGCAGAAAUAGAUGAGCCACAAAAGCAAGCACAUUAUACAGAGCUUUGAAUUGGUGCUACGAGUAACAGCAACACAACUCCCAGAAAUUAGCACUGGGAUUCUCCUGCAGCUCCUAUGAACACCAGGCCUCUAAUUAGAUCAACUGGAUUAUAAAAUCCUCUCAUGCAACGAGACAUUUGCACUGCUGGGAAGCCUUCA